AACGAACGCUGGCGGCAUGCUUAACACAUGCAAGUCGAACGAUACCUCCGGUUCUUGCGCCGGAGGGUUAGGUACGGAGGGGGAACUAGCCCUUAGGUUAGGAAUACUUUCCCGAAGGGGAUCGUAUGACCGGGUAUUGUCUUCGGACAAAUGCUUGCUGCCUUUUGGGUGGGCCCUCGUUGGAUUAGUUAGUGGGUAGGGUAAAACCCUACGAAGGCGAGGUUCCUUAGCUGGUCGGAGAGGAUGAGCGCUCACACUGGGACUGAGACACGGCGCAGAGUCCUACGGGAGGGAGCAGUGGGGAAUAUUGGACAAUGGGCGAAAGCCUGAUCCAGCAAUGCCGCGUGAGUUAUGAAGGCCUUAGGGUUGUAAAGCUCUUUUACCCGGGAUGGUAAUGACAGUACCGGGAGAAUAAGCUCCGGCUAACUCCGUG
rnacentral:rRNA from 1 species